CGCCGCGCGCCCCGCUCCGGCUCCCCAGUGCCCGGGCGGCCAUGGCGCUGAGCGAGCCCAUCCUGCCGUCCUUCUCCACUUUCGCCAGCCCGUGCCGCGAGCGCGGCCUGCAGGAGCGCUGGCCGCGCGCAGAGCCCGAGGACGGAGGCACGGACGACGACCUCAACAGCGUGCUGGACUUCAUCCUGUCCAUGGGCUGGACGGCCUGGGCGCCGAACCGCCCCCGAGCCGCCGCCGCCGCCCCCGCCGCCGCGUUCUACUACCCGAGCCCGGCGCGCCGCCGCCCUACGGCGCCCCCGCGGGUGGCCUGGUGUCCGAGCUGCUGCGGCCCGAGCUGGACGUGCCCCGGGCCGGCGCUGCACGGCCGCUUUCUGCUCGCGCCGCCCGGCCGUCUGGUCAAGGCCGAGCCCCCGAGGCGGACGGCGGCGCAGGCUACGGCUGCGCGCACGGCCUGGCCGCGGGCCGCGCGGCCUCAGCGCGAGGGCGCCCGGGCCCGGAGCCGCCUGCAUGCGGGUCCGGGCCGCCCCCCGCGCCGCCCGACACGCCGCCGCUCAGCCCGACGGCCCCGCGCGCCUGCCGCCGGACCGCGCGCCCCUUCCGCGCCUUCGCGGCCCCGGCUUCGGCGCGCCCGGGCCCGGCCUGCACUAUGCGGCCCCCGCGCCCCCCGCCUUCGGUCUCUUCGACGACGCGGCCGCCGCCGCGGCAGCCCUGGGCCUGGCCCCACCCGCCGCCCGCGGUCUCCUCACGCCGCCCGCGUCCCCGCUGGAGCUGCUGGAGGCCAAGCCCAAGCGCGGCCGCCGCUCCUGGCCCCGCAAGCGCACCGCCACCCACACCUGCAGCUACGCGGGCUGCGGCAAGACCUACACCAAGAGCUCGCACCUCAAGGCGCACCUGCGCACGCACACAGGCGAGAAGCCCUACCACUGCAACUGGGACGGCUGCGGCUGGAAGUUCGCGCGCUCAGACGAGCUCACGCGCCACUACCGCAAGCACACCGGCCACCGGCCCUUCCAGUGCCACCUCUGCGACCGCGCCUUCUCGCGCUCCGACCACCUGGCGCUGCACAUGAAGAGGCACAUGUAGCCCGCCGGCCCCGACCCGCGCGCGGCCGUGGCGGGUCCCACGCGCCGGGUGCGGCCCCCUCCCAGACUGUGACUGCUAUUUAUUGGACCCGGAAGACCGGGCUGGGCACAGCGUGGCCACGGAAGGGCUCCCCUCCCCCCACAUCCGACGACAGCGACAACGCCACUGCCCCAGCCCCCACCUGUGACUGAAGGCCCCGGUGGGAAAAGACCACGACCCUCUUUGACGAGUUUUGUUUUCAAAAUGGUGCAAUAAUUCAGCGUCGUCUUUCUCCCCACCGGGUCUACACUAGAGGUUCGAGGCUUGAUGCCUUGUGAAAAAUACAGCCUUAAUUUGUACUGUCUGCGACAUUUUUUAUAAUAUUGUACAUAAUGACUGUGACAGGUAUUGUAUUACCUUGCAUAGGGAGACAGGAGGGCAUUUUGGCUGCCUGGUUUGUUUUUUUAAUAAGACUUUUGCUGUUCUUUUUUUUUUAAUUAAAAAAAAGUUUUGCAUCUUUU